AAAAGCUUUCUUUAAUUGAAUAAUUGAAUUUAAUUUUUUAGUGCAAAAGCAAAAAUAAAAAUUAGGGACAAGAAGACCCUAUGAAUUUUUUAUUAAAUUUUAUAAAACUUUAUAUAAAAUUUAAUUUAAUUGGGGUGAUGGAAAAAGAAUAAAUAUCUUUUUUUAAAAGAAAAUUGGUUCCGUUCUUAGCGAUUAAAUGAAAAAAAUACUCUAGGUAUAACAGCGUAAUAAUUUUGGAUAGUUCAUAUAGAUAAAAUAGUUUGCGACCUCGAUGUUGGAUUAGGAUUCUUUUUUGGUGAAGAAGUUAAAAAAAGAAGUUUGUUCAACUUAUAAUUUCCUACUUGAUCUGAGUUCAGACCGG
rnacentral:rRNA from 1 species